UUUAAGGUUCCUCUUGGAACCAUCCAAAGUGCAUGUAAAAUGCAA
rfam:Taeniopygia guttata chromosome 4, whole genome shotgun sequence.